AGCGAACGCUGGCGGCAUGCUUAACACAUGCAAGUCGCACGGGCAGCAAUGUCAGUGGCGGACGGGUGAGUAACGCGUAGGAACGUGUCCUGAGGUGGGGGACAACCCCGGGACACUGGGGCUAAUACCGCAUAUGGGCUGAGGCCCAAAGCCGAGAGGCGCCUUUGGAGCGGCCUGCGUCCGAUUAGGUAGUUGGUGGGGUAAAGGCCUACCAAGCCUGCGAUCGGUAGCUGGUCUGAGAGGACGACCAGCCACACUGGGACUGAGACACGGCCCAGACCCCGACGGGAGGAAGAGGGGGGGAAGAUGGGAAAAGGGGAGAAAGCCGGACCGACCAGUGCGGGGGGGGGAAAGAGGGUUUUGGGAUGGAAAAGCCCUUUGGAGGGGGCGGAGGAUGACGGUACCGGAAAAAGAACCCCCGGCAAACUCGGUC
rnacentral:rRNA from 1 species